GGUUUACCUGUGUGACUGCGUACCUUUUGUAUAAUGGGUCAGCGACUUAUAUUCUGUAGCAAGGUUAACCGAAUAGGGGAGCCGGAGGGAAACCGAGUCUUAAUUGGGCGUUAAGUUGCAGGGUAUAGACCCGAAACCCGGUGAUCUAGCCAUGGGCAGGUUGAAGGUUGGGUAACACUAACUGGAGGACCGAACCGACUAAUGUUGAAAAAUUAGCGGAUGACCUGUGGCUGGGGGUGAAAGGCCAAUCAAACCGGGAGAUAGCUGGUUCUCCCCGAAAGCUAUUUAGGUAGCGCCUCGUGAAUUCAUCUCCGGGGGUAGAGCACUGUUUCGGCUAGGGGGCCAUCCCGGCUUACCAACCCGAUGCAAACUGCGAAUACCGGAGAAUGUUAUCACGGGAGACACACGGCGGGUGCUAACGUCCGUCGUGAAGAGGGAAACAACCCAGACCGCCAGCUAAGGUCCCAAAGUCAUGGUUAAGUGGGAAACGAUGUGGGAAGGCCCAGACAGCCAGGAUGUUGGCUUAGAAGCAGCCAUCAUUUAAAGAAAGCGUAAUAGCUCACUGGUCGAGUCGGCCUGCGCGGAAGAUGUAACGGGGCUAAACCAUGCACCGAAGCUGCGGCAGCGACGCUGAUGCGUUGUUGGGUAGGGGAGCGUUCUGUAAGCCUGUGAAGGUGGCCUGUGAGGGUUGCUGGAGGUAUCAGAAGUGCGAAUGCUGACAUAAGUAACGAUAAAGCGGGUGAAAAGCCCGCUCGCCGGAAGACCAAGGGUUCCUGUCCAACGUUAAUCGGGGCAGGGUGAGUCGACCCCUAAGGCGAGGCCGAAAGGCGUAGUCGAUGGGAAACGGGUUAAUAUUCCCGUACUUGGUGUUACUGCGAAGGGGGGACGGAGAAGGCUAUGUUGGCCGGGCGACGGUUGUCCCGGUUUAAGCGUGUAGGUGUGUGUUCCAGGUAAAUCCGGUUCACUUUAACACUGAGGCGUGACGACGAGGCACUACGGUGCUGAAGCAACAAAUGCCCUGCUUCCAGGAAAAGCCUCUAAGCAUCAGGUAACAUCAAAUCGUACCCCAAACCGACACAGGUGGUCAGGUAGAGAAUACCAAGGCGCUUGAGAGAACUCGGGUGAAGGAACUAGGCAAAAUGGUGCCGUAACUUCGGGAGAAGGCACGCUGACACGUAGGUGAAGUGAUUUACUCAUGGAGCUGAAGUCAGUCGAAGAUACCAGCUGGCUGCAACUGUUUAUUAAAAACACAGCACUGUGCAAACACGAAAGUGGACGUAUACGGUGUGACGCCUGCCCGGUGCCGGAAGGUUAAUUGAUGGGGUCAGCGCAAGCGAAGCUCCUGAUCGAAGCCCCGGUAAACGGCGGCCGUAACUAUAACGGUCCUAAGGUAGCGAAAUUCCUUGUCGGGUAAGUUCCGACCUGCACGAAUGGCGUAAUGAUGGCCAGGCUGUCUCCACCCGAGACUCAGUGAAAUUGAACUCGCUGUGAAGAUGCAGUGUACCCGCGGCAAGACGGAAAGACCCCGUGAACCUUUACUAUAGCUUGACACUGAACAUUGAGCCUUGAUGUGUAGGAUAGGUGGGAGGCUUUGAAGUGUGGACGCCAGUCUGCAUGGAGCCGACCUUGAAAUACCACCCUUUAAUGUUUGAUGUUCUAACGUGGACCCGUAAUCCGGGUUGCGGACAGUGUCUGGUGGGUAGUUUGACUGGGGCGGUCUCCUCCUAAAGAGUAACGGAGGAGCACGAAGGUUGGCUAAUCCUGGUCGGACAUCAGGAGGUUAGUGCAAUGGCAUAAGCCAGCUUGACUGCGAGCGUGACGGCGCGAGCAGGUGCGAAAGCAGGUCAUAGUGAUCCGGUGGUUCUGAAUGGAAGGGCCAUCGCUCAACGGAUAAAAGGUACUCCGGGGAUAACAGGCUGAUACCGCCCAAGAGUUCAUAUCGACGGCGGUGUUUGGCACCUCGAUGUCGGCUCAUCACAUCCUGGGGCUGAAGUAGGUCCCAAGGGUAUGGCUGUUCGCCAUUUAAAGUGGUACGCGAGCUGGGUUUAGAACGUCGUGAGACAGUUCGGUCCCUAUCUGCCGUGGGCGCUGGAGAACUGAGGGGGGCUGCUCCUAGUACGAGAGGACCGGAGUGGACGCAUCACUGGUGUUCGGGUUGUCAUGCCAAUGGCACUGCCCGGUAGCUAAAUGCGGAAGAGAUAAGUGCUGAAAGCAUCUAAGCACGAAACUUGCCCCGAGAUGAGUUCUCCCUGAGACUUAGAGUCUCCUGAAGGAACGUUGAAGACGACGACGUUGAUAGGCCGGGUGUGUAAGCGCAGCGAUGCGUUGAGCUAACCGGUACUAAUGAACCGUGAGGCUUAACCUUACAACGCCGAAG
rnacentral:rRNA from 1 species